AGAGUUUGAUCAUGGCUCAGAACGAACGCUGGCGGCGUGGAUAAGACAUGCAAGUCGAGCGCUGAUUACAGGGUAGCAAUAUUCUGUGGUCGGAGCGGCGCAAGGGUGCGUAACACGUGGGUAAUCUGCCAUGAAGUUUGGGAUAACUUGCUGAAAGGCGAGCUAAUACCGGAUGUGACGAUCGGAGGGCAUCUUCUGAUCUUCAAAGCUGGGGACCGUAAGGCCUGGCGCUUCAUGAUGAGCCCGCGGCCUAUCAGCUAGUUGGUGAGGUAACGGCUCACCAAGGCUAAGACGGGUAGCUGGUCUGAGAGGACGACCAGCCACACUGGAACUGAGACACGGUCCAGACACCUACGGGUGGCAGCAGUCGAGAAUUUUUCACAAUGGGCGCAAGCCUGAUGGAGCGACGCCGCGUGGGGGAUGAAUGGCUUCGGCCCGUAAACCCCUGUCAUUUGCGAACAAAUUGGUUCAAUUAACACCUGAACCAUUGAUAGUAGCGAAAGAGGAAGGGACGGCUAACUCUGUGCCAGCAGCCGCGGUAAUACAGAGGUCCCGAGCGUUGUUCGGAUUCACUGGGCGUAAAGGGUGCGUAGGUGGUGAGGUAAGUCGGAUGUGAAAGCUCGGAGCUCAACUCCGAAAUGGCAUUGGAAACUACCUUGCUCGAGGGUUGGAAGGGGGACUGGAAUGCUUGGUGUAGCAGUGAAAUGCGUAGAUAUUAAGCGGAACACCAGUGGCGAAGGCGAGUCCCUGGACAACUCCUGACACUGAGGCACGAAAGCUAGGGGAGCAAACAGGAUUAGAUACCCUGGUAGUCCUAGCCGUAAACGGUGCACGUUUGCUGUAAAAGGAAUCGACCCCUUUUGUGGCGUAGCCAACGCGUUAAACGUGCCGCCUGGGAAGUACGGUCGCAAGAUUAAAACUCAAAGAAAUUGACGGGGCCUGCACAAGCGGUGGAGUUUGUGGCUCAAUUCGAUGCAACGCGAGAA
rnacentral:rRNA from 1 species